CCUACGGGAGGCAGCAGUGGGGAAUAUUGGGCAAUGGGCGCAAGCCUGACCCAGCAACGCCGCGUGAAGGUAGAAGGCUUUCGGGUUGUAAACUUCUUUUCUGAGGGACGAAGAAAGUGACGGUACCUCAGGAAUAAGCCACGGCUAACUACGUGCAAGCAGCCGCGGGAAUACGUAGGUGGCAAGCGUUAUCCGGAUUUUUUGGGUGUAAAGGGCGUGUAGGCGGGAAAGCAAGUCAGAUGUGAAAACUCAGGUCUCAACCCUGAGCCUGCAUGUGAAACUGUUUGUCUUGAGUGCUGGAGAGGCAAUCGGAAUUCCGGGUGUAGCGGUGAAAUGCGUAGAUAUACGGAGGAACACCAGUGGCGAAGGCGGAUUGCUGGACAGUAACUGACGCUGAGGCGCGAAAGCGUGGGGAGCAAACAGGAUUAGAUACCCUUGUAGUC
rnacentral:rRNA from 1 species